GAAAUUAUAUUUAAAAUUGAUUUAACCGUCAUGAUUAAACUAUGAUAUCAUACUUGUUAAUUGGAAACAGUUAACUUGAUUACUUUGAAAAAAUUAGAGUGUUUAAAGCAGAAUUCACAUUUGAAUAAUACAGCAUGGGAUAAUACAAUAUGACAUUUACCGAAAUUUGUUGGUUUCUUUGGCGAAUGUA
rnacentral:rRNA from 1 species